CGGGGCAUAGUAUAGUGGUAGUACGAGUGAUUUGGGAUCAUUUAGUCUCGGUUCGAUUCCGAGUGCCCCGA
rnacentral:tRNA from 1 species